rnacentral:rRNA from 1 species
GUCUAAGGCCAUGCCACCCUGAACAAGCCUGAUCCCAUCUGAUCUCGGAAGCUAAGCAGGGUUGGGCCUGGUUAGUACUUGGAUGGGAGACCACCUAGGGAAGACCAGAUGCUGUAGGCA